CCCAGGAUGGCCGAGUGGUUAUGGCAUCAGACUUCUAAUCUGGUGAACGCGGGUUCGAAUCCCGCUUCUGGUCGA